CAUACCUAGGGAUUUGCCCACUGAUGAGGGUCCUUCAGCCUCAGCACACAAUCUAAGCAGGUUGCCAGCAAAGGAGCUGUAUAAGGUCCAUCUUCAAAAACAAAUAAGAAAAAGUGACAUGGAGAUGGACCUUAUACAGCUUCAAAUGGAAGAGAAAAGGCUCCUCAUUAAAAAAGCAGCACUUGAAAUAGAAUUACUUGAGAAUCGCCUUAAGGUGAGAACUUGUCUGAAUAUUAAUCUGUUGCAUGUUAAAAGUGGUCUGUCUGUCUGUGUCUGUCUCUAUCUAUCUAUCUAUCUAUCUAUCUAUCUAUCUAUCUA